rnacentral:lncRNA from 1 species
CAGCGGUGCCCUGGCACCGUGUGGGGACAUGGGGCACGGUUCUCCCUCAAUAGGAUGGAGGGGUCCCGGUGUGCCUGACCCGCUGGGAAGGGAGAUGGGACAGCCCCACAGCUCCCCUCCCUGGCCCCGCCAUCCCGUUCGUCACCCCAGCCAUUCAUCGGGCCAGACAGAUGCCCCCAAAUAAAGGGCGCCGUGAUUGAUACCCAAAGACAAUAGGGUGGGAGGGGCCAGGCGGGCUCCUCGUGAAUAAACAUGAGGGUCUUUGGACACAGCUUCCUCUCUUCACAAAAUGGGACUGAUUGUGUGGCAGGCAUUUAAAAUUCAGCUGCGGUCGGCCCGUCUUCCAGUGCCCCCCAAACCGCUGAGGUGCUUCAUUUAUUUAAUAAUUUCCCCUCCUCCCCCUUUGCGCUCAGUCAGUGACAGACCUGGGUCCUUUCACGCUUUGUCCUCCCUCUUUCUUUCGUUCUUGCUCGCGCUCCCUCUCUCUCUCUUUUUUAUCUUCCUUCCUUUUCCUACUCCUUGUUUCUUUCUCUCCCUGGCUUUUGUGCGGGGGGCCGUGACGAAUGGCUGAGAAAAGAGGGUGCUGUGAGAAACUGGAGCUGCGCUGGCGGAGUGGGUGCUCUUUCAUCAUCUGCCUGCCUCCCUCCAGCUUCCCCGUGGUUCCUCCAAGGCUCCUUUGUGGCUGUAAUCAAAGCCUGGUGAGUGAUGGCUGUUCGGGGGGGGGGAGGGAAGGAAGAAGGGGCAGCGGAGGGUGGCUUGCCCGCCCUGGGAGCUGCUGGGGUAGCGGGGGCAGGACCGCGGGGUGCCGGGUGCCUGUGGGUGCUGGUGGUGGGUGCUGGGGCACCCCCGGCAUGGGAGCUGGGCACCGUGCUACUGCCGGACCCACAGGGCUCUGCAGGGGCUGAGGGAAACGCGCUGCUGCCUGUGUGCGUGCCUGAGAGCCAGGGAAUCCCCAUCACCACCCGCCUGGCAGGACCCUUCAUGAAACCACCGCGGUUUUUGUCGUGGGUUUCAACAGGCAUUGCACAGCGG